AUACACUUUGCACAAUUGCCAAUCAAUGUUAUCGCCCUGUUACCGCAGGUACUAUCGAUUGAUUGAGCGCAGAGCGAUGAAGAGAACGCUUUAAAGAAAACGUAAAUCUCCAAUUUACCCUAUACACAGAUUUGAGUAAACGUUUUAUUAAUAAAGCUGUUGGUAAUCUUCCUUCUAUAUUUGCUAUAUUCAUAGGGGCAUCAAAUAUUAAGCGAAUAUCCAAACAAUUAACAACCAAUAGUUGUAAACGAUAUAACACUGCAGCCACUCUACAACUGCCUAACAAACUAACAUCAUUACUUUUUAUCAAAGAUUUUAGACUUUUGAGCUAAAAAGGUUUUGGCUCACAGACUGCUUUAUUAAAAUUAUGCACGUUUUAUUUUAUGUUGAUUCACGCUCAAUACCAUUAAGGUGAUGUCGUCCCUUAAAACUUCCAUAAUUAGUGCAAAACGGAUUAUAGUAUUACAGCGAAUACAUAGUGACAGAUUGAGGGAUAUCUCCUUAAAACUAUUUAUUAUUUCAUAGCAGCUACUGAAAGACGAUCUUAAAAUGUCACAAUCGACAUACUCGAAGGUAUUGGCUAAACCUAUACGUUGGGCAAUAAUCGCUAAAGCUGAUAUAGAGACUACUUUUGUUCUGUAAAAGAAAACAUGUCAUGGACGUGAAAGUAUUCUGUUUACCAGAGCAUCCCUCUGUCAAAAAGUUAAACUUCAGUAGGUUCAUUAGAGUCACGAACCAAGCACCUGUCGACCAAUGGUAUGUUUUUGUUUUAGCAGAAGAAGAAAACUCUCGUGUAAGAUUUAAAAAUAGUCGAGAGUGGGCGUAUGACUCGCUCAUCUGUCGCUGUUAGACCUCAAUAGCUGAACUGAGAGUGGUGCUCUACCUUUCUUUAAGGUACCUGCCAUAGCCCGUAACCUGAAGAACUAAACGUCCCAAACUGACGUAUUGGUGAGACAGUGCGGAACACGCUGCAAAUAAUAAACGUUUCGAGCAUCUGUCGAGGUUGAAUUGCAAUAACUACAUUUAACUCAACCCAUAUACUAUGAUAACCUGCCACAUCCAAAGUGCUUAGAACCCUACGCCCCAAACUGACAAGCUCGAUGUUCAGCUUUUCAAUUAAUAAACUUCUCGCGCAUUUGUCGAAGUUAGAUGUGAAUAGUUAAGUUACCGGUAAAUCCUACUCUAGAAUAACCUGUGCUACGAGCAAAACCUGAAGCAUUAAAUGACAAAUUCAAGAUAGAGGGCGUAUAACAAAACACGUGGUGACCAGCCAUCAAGACAAAGAAGGAACAGACAGAAAGAGUGAAAGGCGAUCUUUACACAAUUAACAGGUUAUGCGAUUCGUUGGAUAAGAUACUCUUGCGCUCGCAAAUUGUCAUGGAGCUCAGGCCAAGUACCUGUUAAAAGAGAGCGUGAGAGAAAAUGUGUACCACUCACUCGUGAUUUCGGAACGAUAGUAUCAGAAGGAAUAAUCUAGUACGGUAAACUUCACCAGGCAUGGAAGUCAACACUUUUAGUGCAGAGAGCACAGAGAGAACACUUGAUGGUGGGAAUGUAUAGGAUUUGGUUUUAGGAGGUUAUAUAGCGUUAUUCGAUAUUUCUUAGGUAUAUUGAUGCUCGUUUCUGGCGCUUCAGCAGAAAAGACGAUAGCAUAUAGUGUGCAAUAGGUGCGAAAAUCAGUAAUCUCACAAUGAGUAACCAUAAUCCAUUAGCAGGUUAGAUAACGAUCUGACAUGGUGAGAAUAAAUAAGCCGCUUAAAAAAUAGUUGUCACAUUGAAAUUGAUGAACUUAUUAUAACACACAAAUAUUAUAAUAAUUAUUGUUAGAGUAAUUAUAAUAGUAAUGAUCCAAUUUUUAUUUGAGGAUACUUAAUAUUUAGAGAAAACUGAUUUAGACUCAAAUCCGCUAAUGCUGCACGAAUAAGCGCCGCAGUUAACGCUUUAGUUUAUAUAGCUCCUUCGAUGAAUAAAUGGUCUUGAAAAUAUGCAAUAAAUGGUCUUGAAAAUAAAGCAAUGUGAUAGGAACUACUCUACAGCCAAAAUAGCUCUGGUUCUUUGAUAAAUGUCCAAUCGAACAAGGAAAAACGUUCAAUAGAAUUUCUCAUAAAAAAACGAAAAACGCAGAAAAACACCUUAAUACCUCAUAAUGAAAUCAGCAAACACGGCUAAUAAAUACCUUCAUUCUUUGUUUGGUCUUAUAAUAUUGUUGUUUUACUCUAGUAACUCAAGUAACAUUUAAGUUGUCAUUAUCGUUCUAGAUUUUGUUAUAUCAAACUAGACUAUACUUUGUAUACUGAGUAGUUGUCAAUGUAGCUAAGCAUUUCAUUGAAUGCUCCUGUUCAUUUUCCCUGAUUUUACAUACGUAAAAACGUACCUUUUUCAACAUCAUUCUCACGGGUCAGUUACAGAACGCAAAGAAAAGCCAGCGAUGUGAAGAGCAAAAAGAUAUUAAAGGUAAACGAGAGUGGGCCAAAUUAACUGUGCAGGAACUACCUGAGGGCCAAGAUGAAUGCUAAAGACUGGAAGACAUGAGAA